GUGGCUCAUGCCUGUAAUUCUGGAACUUUGAGAGGCUAAGGUAGGCAGAUCACUUGAAGUCAGGAGUUUGAGACCAGCCUGAGUAACAUGGUGAAACCCCAGCUCUACUAAAAAUAAAAAAAAAUUAGCCAGGCAUGGUGGCACAUACUUGUAAUCCCAGCUAUGUGGGAGGUCGAGGCAGAAUAGCUUGAACCUGGGAAGUGGAGGUUGCAGUGAGUGCAGAUCGCACCACUGCACUCCAGGUUAGGCGACAGAGUGAGAUGCAUCUCAAAAAAUAAAAUAAAUAACAUUAUACUUUUAAAAUGGAGACAUAAAAUUGUGAGUACUUUGAAGAGAGAAUUACGUAUUACCUCUAACAAAAUUGCUAUUACAAUUUUGGUGAAUUUUUCCCCAAUUGUUAUUUAAAGGAUACUUAUAUAUAGUUUGAAAAUCAGAGUAGAUGUUCCAUAUUUCUUUAUGUUUCAUUUUGCUGUUAUUUGCCAAGCGUAUUCAGGGUACCAAAUUAAGUAUUGAUUGAUGGUAGCAGUGAUAACAUUAAGACGUGGAGAUCAGGUUAAAGACAGAUAUGCACCAUGAAUCCAUAAUUGAGUAAGUCAGAAGGAAAUUUAAUUAGCCUUUUUCCUGUGUCCAUUGCAGUGCUUUAAUAAGAACAACAGAGAAUUCUUUUUUUUUCUUUUAAUUUGCUAAUCCAGGAUGUUCUCAAUGCUUUUAUGGACGUCAGCUAGCUAAAUACCUUGAGAGAAUAGCAAUACCAUCAAGUUACAUCUGUUUGUGACAUUUUCUCUAUGAUGGGACUAACAAAUUUGAUCUGUAUUAACUGAUUUUAAUAUGUAUUAACUCACACUUAUUGCACUACAACAAGAUUUUUGUCUUCUUAGCUCUUCUCUUCUUUGGGAAAUUACUCCAGGAUUUGAAUGGUCACAAGAGAUUCACCAGAGGAUUUUAUACACUUGGUCUGUGGCAGCAGAUUAAUUACACCACAACACCAGUUCUGGAGGCUAGAGGAAGUCCAAGAUCAAGAUGUUAGCAGGGUUGGCUUCUCCUCAGGACCAUGAAGGAAGGGUCUGUUCCAGGCCUCUGGCUUUGACUUGUAGGUAAAUAUCUUCUUCCUGUGUCUUCACGCUGUUUUUCCUUUGUAUGUCUGUGUCCAAAUUUCCUCUCCUUAGAAGGAUACUAGUCAUAUUCAAUUAGGGUCCAUCCUAAUGACUUCAUUUUAACUUAAUUACCUCUUUAAAGAUC
rnacentral:lncRNA from 1 species